UUAGCUUCUGAUAUGAAAUACAAAACUGUAAAAUAGCAUAAGAAUAUCCAAAAAAACUUGUAUUUAAAAAUAUUUCAGAAUAAUGAACUUGAACUAAUUUACAAGAACAUUAAUUUUGAUGGUUUUGUUCAGAUUUUAGACAUAGAAAAUAUUGGAAUAUUUUUUAUUUUAACUAAAUAUAUUUCAUUUUCCAGUCUUUUUCUAUUUGUAUACAUAUACAUAAAAACAUGCACAGACUGGAAGGAUCAACAUGAUCUCUGAGUACUGAAAUUAAGAAGGCUUUUCAAUGUACCUAAGUGCCACAAGAAAGAUACAUUAUAAAGAUUUUAGACAUUUAAUUAACACACAUAAACACAUGUGUGCACACACAUAUACAAAAUAA